ACGCUCGACACCUAGGAGGCAGCAGUGGGGAAUAUUGCACAAUGGGGGAAACCCUGAUGCAGCGACGCCGCGUGAGCGAAGAAGUAUCUCGGUAUGUAAAGCUCUAUCAGCAGGGAAGAAGAUGACGGUACCUGACUAAGAAGCACCGGCUAAAUACGUGCCUGCAGCCGCGGUAAUCUGAGCGGGCUGGCAAGGC
rnacentral:rRNA from 1 species